rnacentral:rRNA from 1 species
AUGAACCCGACCAUCGACCGCAUGUUCACCACGAUGCUGCGGAACAAGUGCGACAAGGACACCCCUCGCGGCACCCUCAAGCAGAACCUCGACGUGCGGCCGCCGGACGUCUUCGACAACAAGUACUGCUUCGACCUGAUCACGAGGCAGGGGCUGUUCAAGUCGGACCAGGGCCUCUUCGACCACCCCACCACCAAGCGCAUGGCCACCCGCUUCUCACUCAACCAGGAUGCCUUCUUCGAGCAGUUUGCCAAGUCCAUGGCCAAGAUGGUCAACAUGGACCUGCUCACAGGCGACAAGGGCGAGAUCCGGGCCAGAUGCACCGUCCGCGGCACUCCCCCACGCAUUGAGGCUGGCACCGCCGGCGAUGGCGAGGGGAUCGCCGCCGACAUGUAA